GUUGAGUGAGUGUUAGUGUACCUCAAGGUUUUGGGUUCGAGUUUUUGAGUGUGUGUUUUGGAGAAAUAUUUUUGUUUAGUGUCAUUUUGUUUUGUUAAGUAGCAGUUUUAUUUUAAGUUAAAAGGUAUAACUAUUUAUUUUGGAAUUUUAUUUUUCUUUUAGUAUUAUUUUUUUAGAUGUUCUUCUCUUCUCCCAUUCUUUGUUUCUUUUUUUUGGUUCUUCUUUAUUUUUCUUUUAAUUUUUGAGAACGCUUUUGCUUGUGGAUUUUGGAG
rnacentral:lncRNA from 1 species